ensembl:lncRNA
CCGUGCUGGUGGGGAACAUCCAUUCCAGUGAGAUGUUGUGGUUCUCCUCUGCAUGAUACCAGCUCUGUGUCACAUUCACUACAAAUGACCCUGCUGAGGAGACAGAGAAGGAGAGGAGGAGGUGACAAAGUGACAGCUUUAACAUGGAGCCUUUAGACUCCAUCUCCAGAUGUUUCUGAGGAGUGUGUGCUGAUGCUUCACAGCUGCUUCACAAACACAAAAGUGAACUGACCACAGACACAGGAGGUCAGGAUGAAGAUCACCAGGAUGCUGCAGAUCAUCUCCUCCCUGUGAGAGGAGACAGAGGAGAAGAGGCUCAAACAUCAUCAUCACACCAACAAUCUACAGUGUGUCU